rnacentral:lncRNA from 1 species
CCUGGAGUGGGUGGCCAAGCACCGGCCGUCCCGCAACGCGCUCGCGGAAGAGGCGAGCAGGUUCGAGGUGUUCAAGGACAACCUCCGCUACAUCGACGCCCAUAACGCGGCGGCCGACCGCGGGGAGCACGCCUUCCGCCUUGGCCUCAACCGGUUCGCCGCCCUGACCAACGAGGAGUACCGGGCCAAGUAUCUAGGCGUCCGGGCCGCCACGUCCCGCCGGAGGAGGGCCUCAUCGGAGGGCAGCAACCGGUACCGGCUGAGGGACGGCGAUUAUUUGCCUGAUUCCAUCGAUUGGAGGGAGAAGGGCGCUGUUGUCGGCGUUAAAGAUCAAGGCAGCUGCGGUGGGUGCUGAUAUUUUCAUUUCUCCCUGCGUUGACUUCAAUUAGUUGCAAUUUCUGCUCUAUUGUUCUGUUUGCUUUCUGCUAAUAACACUUUAAAUCUGAUAUUAUUUUCAUUUAAUUACAUUUACAUGAAGAUCGAUCUUUUCCUCUCUUUUUUUUCCCUCC